UUCCGCAGAGCGACUGACCCGUGCGAGCUGCAGUUGACACUCCCACCAAGGCAAGAUCACCCAGCUCAUCAUGCUAGAGCACGUUUUUAAUGGGCUCCCCAACAACAAGGCGAUGUGUCAUCCAUAUCAACUUUCAAUGCCAUUUACUGGUGACCACGGGUAACUGGGAAUAAGGGUUCGAUUCCUGAGAGGGAGCCUGAGAAACGGCUACCACAUGCAAGGAAGGCAGCAGGCACGCAAAUUAACCACUAACAAUGUGGGAAGGUAGUGAUGACAAAUAACAAUACAGGACUCUUUAGAGGCCCUGUAAUUGUAAUGAGUCCACUUGAAAUCCUUUAACUCUGAUCAAUUGGAGGGCAAGUCUGGUGCAGAGCAACUGACCCGUGCGUGCUGCAGUUGAAACUCCACUA